AUUGAACGCUGGCGGCAUGCCUUACACAUGCAAGUCGAACGGUAACAGGUCUUCGGAUGCUGACGAGUGGCGAACGGGUGAGUAAUACAUCGGAACGUGCCCGAUCGUGGGGGAUAACGAAGCGAAAGCUUUGCUAAUACCGCAUAAGAUCUAAGGAUGAAAGCAGGGGACCGCAAGGCCUUGCGCGAACGGAGCGGCCGAUGGCAGAUUAGGUAGUUGGUGGGAUAAAAGCUUACCAAGCCGACGAUCUGUAGCUGGUCUGAGAGGACGACCAGCCACACUGGGACUGAGACACGGCCCAGACUCCUACGGGAGGCAGCAGUGGGGAAUUUUGGACAAUGGGCGCAAGCCUGAUCCAGCCAUGCCGCGUGCAGGAUGAAGGCCUUCGGGUUGUAAACUGCUUUUGUACGGAACGAAAAGACUCUGGUUAAUACCUGGGGUUCAUGACGGUACCGUAAGAAUAAGCACCGGCUAACUACGUGCCAGCCGCCGCUGUAA
rnacentral:rRNA from 1 species